GAUAAACGCUGGCGGCGUGCAUGAGACAUGCAAGUCGAACGAAGGAUCGGGCUUGCUCGAUCCUUAGUGGCGGACGGCUGAGUAACGCGUAGGUGACCUGCCCCGAAGUGGGGAAUAACUGCCCGAAAGGGUGGCUAAUACCGCAUGUGGUCGCAUCUUCAUUGGUGCGAGUAAAGCCGCAAGGCGCUUCGGGAGGGGCCUGCGUCCGAUUAGCUCGUUGGUGGGGUAAUGGCCUACCAAGGCGACGAUCGGUAGGUGGUCUGAGAGGACGAUCACCCAGACUGGGACUGAGACACGGCCCAGACUCCUACGGGAGGCAGCAGUCGGGAAUUUUGCUCAAUGGGGGAAACCCUGAAGCAGCAACGCCGCGUGAGGGAUGAAGGCCUUCGGGUUGUAAACCUCUUUUGUCAGGGACGAUGAUGACGGUACCUGGCGAAUAAGCCACGGCUAACUACGUGCCAGCCGCCGCAGUAAGAC
rnacentral:rRNA from 1 species